UACAGAGGGUGCGAGCGUUGUCCGGAAUCACUGGGCGUAAAGGGCGCGUAGGUGGCGGGCCAAGUCAGUGGUGAAAGCUCGAUGCUCAACAUCGAGUCGGCCACUGAUACUGGUUUGCUUGAGCACUGUAGAGGCAGAUGGAAUUCCGGGUGUAGCGGUGGAAUGCGUAGAGAUCCGGAAGAACACCGGUGGCGAAGGCGGCAUCCUGGACCAAUUCUGACGCUGAGUGAGCGAAAGCCAGGGGAGCAAACGGG
rnacentral:rRNA from 1 species